GUUUUCCAGGACAGGGAAGCUGUGACAGGCCCUGCAGCCCAGACAGUGAUGGAAACAUCUGGGCAAGUGCACCGGGACCUGCGGGGACUCCAGCCUCUCCAGCCUGAAUUCUCACCAGGGCUCAGCUACUCAGGUGCCAGAUUAACAGCCCUGGAGACUUUCUGUUCCAAGGACAUCCAAAGGACCAGCAGUGAGAGUCCAGUUUUUGCCAUGCUGCCCUUGCAACGUGACAUUGAUGUGACUGUACUGACCAAAGGAGAAAGUAGCUCAGAUUGUUCAGGUCAGAGUGUUCAGUAGAUGAGGGAUCUGUGGUGAAGCCAAUGAUCUUAGUGGUGGAGAGAGCCCCGAGUGACCAGACUUGCAGCUAGCUACCCAUGACUAAGUGCCUAAAUUUAGAUGUUCAUCAUCAUCAGUGUUGCAAGAUACUGUACAGCAGCUUUAAUACAUACAAAGAGCAGCGUGGGGCUCCUGGAUUUAAAUGUCAUAUUGCUACUAGUUCCUAGACUGGACAGAGAUGGCAUUACAGCUCAAGACAGAUUCACAGAGAGAUGCCUAGUGAAAUCUGAACCUCCUCUGGACCACCUGUCAAAGACCCUGGUUAUUGCCUUCUUCAAAGCAUGGCAUUUAUACACAAGAUUGAUCCCCGAGAGGCUGACCCCUGAAGGACCUGGUGGGAUACCUGUUAGGACGGGCCAUGUUGAAGCCUCACAACUCCAUCUCCUGGUAUUGGAUGCUGAAGAGAAGACCUGUCUCAGAAAAAGGGAGCAAAGAUUUGUGGCCUUUAAAACACUGCCUCAAUACGCUGUGCAAACCCUUAUUGUGAUAAUAAUUGUCUUUCUUUUGGAAUUUGUGUACAGAACACUAAAUAUAGGAAGGAGCUCUCUGACAACUCACCUGUUUGAGCAGGGCUGCAGAAUGCAGUUUGGAAGAACAGUGCUCCACCAUUCAAGACAUGUUGGUUUGGAAGAAAGUUCUGUCUUGAGGUGGGACAGGAAAACUGCUGAAGUGUUUCAUAGCCAAUGCUCAUUUUCCUUCUUUUGUCUGAAGACAGUGAUGUUGUCCUCUUAUCCUGCUAGAAAACUAAAGCUUACAUCACUUCCAGCUUGCAAGCUAAGUGCAUAUAUGCAUAAAAUUCUAAAUGCCUUAAGAAACAGUAAUGUCAUGGCAUGGGAGGUUUAUAAAAAAUAUAAAACAGCUCAGAAAGGGUUAUUGUGAAAUGAUUAAUGCCUCUGACACUUCCAGUUACAAGACCUAGGAGACAUAUAAUUACAUCAGUAGGUGGAAAGUUCAAAAUGAUGGAGGUGUUUUUACAUAUCAUGUGGAUAAUCUGCAUAACCCCUUGAGUCUGGAGGCUGUGAAUACUGAGAAUUCACAUGGCUUCAAAAAAACAACCAGAGAAAUUCAAUGAAGAAACCACCAGCAUCCAUUAAAAGUAAAGACAACACCCCUUGUUCAGAAAGUCUGAGCUGCACGUUCUUGAGGCAGGGAAAGAAGCUGGGGGAAAGAUGACUCCCUUCUUCCCUCUUGUGCUGUUCAGCUGCUGUUGGCAACAGUCAGGAACAUGGCACAGCACACAACAAACCCAUGGUCUGACUCAGUAAAACUCGUCUUGCAUUCUUAUGUCAUGCUACAUUAUUGAAUAGAAUCAUAAAACUACUCUAAAGACCCACUGUAGCUGAGAAAGAUGAGGGGCUGGAGAACCUGCUCCAUGACUAAUUUCUUUACUUUGGUUGUUCAUUGGAGUGGUUUUUUACACCAUAAGUGUUGUAGGUCUGGACCAUUAUGUAUUUCUUUUUCAAUCAUUGCUGAAAUCUUAAGGAAUUUUCUAAGGUGUGGCAGUGGUUGAAUAGAAACCUCACAGUUUCCCCAGGGUUUUUUCACAAAGAUCCAUGGCACGUACAAGCAUCUUGAAAUGGAGCAUCCAUUUGUUUGAUUAUGCUCCAAGCCAACAAAAGAGCCAGAUAAAGCUAGAACAAUUUGCAUUAUCUGAAGCUUACAUAUAUGUAAUCUUGUCAAAUAAAAGCCACAACAAGCUUAGUAGAACAAAGGACAGAGGGAGCUCCUUAUGCUGGUUGUAGAGGGAACAGCUAAAGCCUUGAUCCCUCCUAUCAAAGGCAGUAUGUUCAAAAAAGCUGGGAAAGAUGCCCAUGUUCAAGCAAAUUUUUACUUGCCUGUAACAUAAAGCAAGUUAUUGUCAUGGUAAAGUAACAGGCUUUAAAAAUGGUAGAAAUGUGCAUAGAUGUAUAUGUAUAUACUCAUAUGUUAUAUACACAUGUAGUUAUUAUCCCUUACAAGAGGAAAGCAUAUUAUAAUAUGAUUACCCACAUUGAGGGGCUGCUGGAGAGCUCGAAGCUCUCUGUGUUCUUGCAGUUGCAGAGCUCUCCGCUGCAGCCCAAAGGUCCUUCCCACUGUAUGCUCUUUGCCUUCCUAAAUUCAAAUCUAUUGCUUUAAAAAGAAGUUACUUUGCAAAGCACAAAGAUGUAUUUUAAUAAAAUAGUUCUAACCAAAUUGCUGACGGCAGGACAAUUCUGCAGCUUCACAAUAGGAACUGUAGGGUUCCUGCUGCCUGAUAAACACAUGAUAAAUUGCAAACCUCCUGCUUCUAUCCCACAAGCUCAGAGUGUUGAGUGAUCACCAUUGUUUCUCUGAUUUAUUUUCAUGCCUACUGGUGCCCAUAUAAAAUCUCAGUCUAUUUAUGCUCAGGCUUCCUCCAAUUUUUUCAUGGAUUAUGUAGCACAACGAUCAGAUUGACAAUUAAUGUAAACAUAUAUCACGGAUGUGAAUUACAUUUUAAUUCUCUGAGUCCAUCACAUCUGUCAUCUCUAUCUGUGUGAUUGCCUUAGCUAUGUGACUAUUAACUCCACCAGCACGGCUCUAGAGAACUGUUUGCUCAGGCUUCCACAAGGCCUGGGUCUGCAGAGUUCUUAUAUUUACAUAAAUGAAAAAUCUUCUGGUUUCACCCAAAUUUUGCAUUGUUGUUCAUGUGAAAAAAGUAAGGGGUUAAACCUGUUGCUGUUGCUUGAGUAUGCCUGGAAGAUACCCUCAAGCACUGGUAACACAAAAGGACUUGUUUUCACCCAGAUCUCACAGCUCUUUCAACAGAUCCUUGGGGGCAGUGGUUGCUGGACUUUCACCACUGUUUAGACAAGGAAUUCGUGGAAUUUCGAUUAUUUGCAUGUAACUUUGGGGGAUCUUAACCAAAGUCCACUGAACAUAAGAGCCUGAUAAUGGCUGAGAUAGGAUUUGCUUACAGCUCAAGAGUGAAUUUCUUUGCCUUGAGCACUGUGAAAUCUUAAUUGAUCAGAUUAAAAAAUGCCAUCAUAAGAAAAACAAGAAGUAGAAAAGAGUAUGUAUCUGCAGACAUAGGGGCCUACAUGAGACCCUUGCAGUGCUAGCCAGUCUUUGUCUAAACUGCAACCCUGCCAGGCCAUAGGAAUAAUUUGAUGGCUUUUGUUCCUCAAUAAAGAGACUUGAACACCUUUGAACCUAGAAAAAAAGAACACAUCAACGAUUUCUUUCCAAGAUCCAUCAGUUAACCAGUUUUUAAUCUAUUUAGUAUGUGCUUCAGUGAUUCAGUUAAAUGUUUUAAUCGGGAUGUCAUGUUGUAUUAAGUGAAAGAACCUGUGGAAAUCUGUGUGUGUUAUGUCAGCUGUCACUUUUUAUUAACUAAGGCCUACCAAAAAUGCUAGCAAUAUUUUUCUGGUAAGUGCUAACAUUUAAAAAUUUACAUUUCACAAGGAUCCUAUUGCUCUCAUUAAAGAGUGCUGAUAGUGUUCACUGCAUCUGCAUCCCACAUUCAUCAAUUCUUUACAGUAACAUGCUCAAUAUAUGCUAUGGUUUUGCUCAGGAUCAAUGCUAGCCUAACAAGCCUGCCAUUAGCCAUGUAAUACCUUUUAGGCUUUAGAGCCCUUGCCCACCAUUAACAUUUCAGCUAUUCAAAUGCAUGCAUCGUUGUGCAGCAUCAAACACAGAGUACUUCCAUGAAAAGGUACAUCUUCAUGAAGAUUGGUCGUUUCUGCAUGCAAAAAUUUCAGCUCUACCAAAAGCACUACCAAAGAUUUUGCAGAUAUAGUGAAGGUAAACAGCAUAUGCUAAAUUUUGAUGCAGUCUCUGGCUCAUAACACCUGCAGUUAAUGCUAGCAUUGUUCAGUGAAGUUUAAGAUGUGCAUACGUUGGUUAUCAUUCACACAGUAUUUUGAAUAUACAAAUAACACUACAUAAUUCUGCUGAUUUAGUAGAGACAGUAGAGACAUGAACCACUCGAGGCAUUACAAGACCUUGGUGAGAAGAGGAAAACUCUAGCUCAAAGCUGAUGUCCUACGGUGACAGACAGGGUCCUGGUUCAUCAAACAAAACAAAAACCAAAACAAACAAACAAACAAAAAUACUACAACAAAAAACACCUUAUGAUUACUCAGACAUUUACAAAAUACUGUAAAGCCUAACUUGUGGCAUGACUACAAGAAAAGGACACAUGCAAUGACACUGAGCGAUCGACUCAAAUACGCUAUAAAAUAACAGUCCCAAAAUAGUAAACCUUGCGAUGAAUUAUUAAAGUUGCUUAUUUUAACAUUUUAUUUACUGAAUUUUGCAUUAUUAAAAUUACAAAUCAUCAACUCACAU
ensembl:lncRNA